UCUCCCUCCCUCUUAGAUUUCCAGAUGCCCAAAUUGAUCAUAACCCUUUUUCCAUCAUCAAAUGUGGUGUUCUUGAGAAAUAAGCAACAAACCAACAAAAACAAAUAGAAAAAAGUAAUAGAUUAGAGCACGUGUAAAUCGGGCAUCCGAUCGACAACAAUUGUGAUUUUGGUUCAGAGCAUAUUUGAUUUGUAGAAAGAGAACUGAAAGAAUCAAGGGAAAGAAAAUCCUCUUUAAGGAGUUACAUAGAUGACCCAUCUAGUCUCUAUCAUAACCAAUUUUGAUUUGUAGGAUGAAGACAUGUUCAAUUAGAAGUGAGGGUCUAUCAAUUGCUCGUCGG
rnacentral:lncRNA from 1 species